CAAGGACAGACUCUGGAAGGCUGGAGGGCUUGGGUCUGGCUGUUGCGCCUGUGUCUUUGGGGGAAAUGUGCUGCUUAGCCUGGCCGGCUGGAGGGCAGGCAGGAAGUGUGGACGGAUGUCCUUUAUUUCAGGAUCUGAAAAUGAAAAACAGAGAAAGAGAAAAAAGCUCUGGAUAAACAUCACACCAGGACAGUUCUGAACCAACAGCGACAGUGCAGCCAUGGCUUGGCUGGUGUGGACCCGAGUUUCUCCCAGCAACUCCCCCGGGGUCUCCUGGGAGGGGCAGCAGCAGCUUCCCCUGGAAGAAGGAACGCUGGAAGGCAAGAGGACAUCACUGAAGAAAGUACAAAAGGCCAUCAGGACUAAAAGGGGGCAAGGAGAUAGAGCAGGCCUCCAGCCUGGGCCUUCUUUGCUUUCAGUCUUCCUUGUUUCUCCCAUUGUGCUCUUGGUCAGGAUAGGA